UGCCAGCAGCCGCGGUAAUACGGAGGAUCCAAGCGUUAUCCGGAAUCAUUGGGUUUAAAGGGUCCGUAGGCGGUUUGGUAAGUCAGUGGUGAAAGCCCAUCGCUCAACGGUGGAACGGCCAUUGAUACUGCUAGACUUGAAUUAUUAGGAAGUAACUAGAAUAUGUAGUGUAGCGGUGAAAUGCUUAGAGAUUACAUGGAAUACCAAUUGCGAAGGCAGGUUACUACUAAUAUAUUGACGCUGAUGGACGAAAGCGUGGGUAGCGAACAGGAUUAGAUACCCUGGUAGUCCACGCCGUAAACGAUGGAUACUAGCUGUUGGGCGCAAGUUCAGUGGCUAAGCGAAAGUGAUAAGUAUCCCACCUGGGG
rnacentral:rRNA from 1 species